UCCUACGGGGGGCAGCAGUGGGGAAUCUUGCGCAAUGGGCGAAAGCCUGACGCAGCGAUGCCGCGUGGGGGAUGAAGGCUCUCGGGUCGUAAACCCCUUUCAGCAGGGACGAAAAUGACGGUACCUGCAGAAGAAGCCCCGGCCAACUACGUGCCAGCAGCCGCGGUAACACGUAGGGGGCGAGCGUUGUCCGGAUUUAUUGGGCGUAAAGAGCUCGUAGGCUGUUCAGUAAGUCAGGUGUGAAAACCCAAGGCUCAACCUUGGGACGCCACUUGAUACUGCUGUGACUAGAGUCCGGUAGAGGAGAUUGGAAUUCCUGGUGUAGCGGUGAAAUGCGCAGAUAUCAGGAGGAACACCAACGGCGAAGGCAGAUCUCUGGGCCGGUACUGACGCUGAGGAGCGAAAGCAUGGGGAGCGAACAGGAUUAGAUACCCUGGUAGUCCAUGCCGUAAACGUUGGGCACUAGGUGUGGGGUCUAUUCAACGGAUUCCGUGCCGCAGCUAACGCAUUAAGUGCCCCGCCUGGGGAGUACGGCCGCAAGGCUAAAACUCAAAGGAAUUGACGG
rnacentral:rRNA from 1 species